AGUGAACGCUGGCGGUAGGCCUAACACAUGCAAGUCGAACGGCAGCACAGUAAGAGCUUGCUCUUACGGGUGGCGAGUGGCGGACGGGAGAGGAAUACAUCGGAAUCUACUUUUUCGUGGGGGAUAACGUAGGGAAACUUACGCUAAUACCGCAUACGACCUACGGGUGAAAGCAGGGGAUCUUCGGACCUUGCGCGAUUGAAUGAGCCGAUGUCGGAUUAGCUAGUUGGCGGGGUAACUGCCCACCAAGGCGACGAUCCGUAGCUGGUCUGAGAGGAUGAUCAGCCAAACUGGAACUGAGACACGGUCCAGACUCCUACGGGAGGCAGCAGUGGGGAAUAUUGGACAAUGGGCGCAAGCCUGAUCCAGCCAUACCGCGUGGGUGAAGAAGGCCUUCGGGUUGUAAAGCCCUUUUGUUGGGAAAGAAAAGCAUCAGGUUAAUACCCCGCUGUUCUGACGGUACCCAAAGAAUAAGCACCGGCUAACUUCGUG
rnacentral:rRNA from 1 species